UUUUCUAGAUGAGGAAACUGAGGCUUAGAGAGAUCAUGCCAUUUUCCCAGGCCACACAGCUAGAAAGUAGCAGAGUGGGAGUAAAUUUCUGGAAUCCUGUGGAGAGCAGUCUUCAGGAGCUGGGGGAGGAUGGAGCGUGGAGAGAAGAUUUGAAAGUCAACUGUGAGCCACACCUGUAAUCCUGACACAGGAGGCUGAGGCAGGAAGAUCGCAGCAAGUUUGAGGCCAGCCUGGGCUAUACAUCAAGAAUGUCUCAAAAAAAAAAAAAAAGAAAGAAAGAAAGAAAAGAAAACUCAGCUGAGGGAAUCGGGCCACUUACAUGCUGAGUAAUUCUUCCUGUUUCGUGGGACUGCAGCUGACCAGUGCUGGGGAAGUGGCUCCCUAAACAGGCUGAGUCGGUUCUGCCUGUGGUGUUGGUGACCACAGCAGCUGCAGGGCAUGGGACACAGAGUGGGGAGACACUAGGAGAGAGGCAGCUCCGAGACAGAGGGUCACAGGAGUGCCCUCGCCUGCCAGUGUUUGCCCUGAGUCCACUAGUGCUGGACAUCCACUGCCAACCUGUGCCCAUUACCUCCUGGCCCAGGGCAGGGGUGUUCAGGGGACACUGUGUGGUCUGAGGAAUAUUCUGAGAAGCCACUUAGGCCAGGGGGUGAGACCCUCAGGUUAGAGGUUACGACUGCCUGCCAACAUCCAUCCACCCUAAAUGAUCAGUCCCGUUUGGUGAUGUUGCUGAUGUUUGACUUACAGGCACUGGCUAAACUUUAGCUGCCAAGGACUACUUUGUCGUAUAAGAUGAGGUUCUGCCCGUGAUUCAUGGCACUAUGGCAGCCAUCCUGGAGUUGUGGAGUAGGCCACCGCUAAAGACAGUGCCACACCUGAGCUUGGCACACACUUGAAAAUGGCCUUGAACCGCUGCGGAGAGGAUCUGGGAACCUAUCCUACGUCCUGUUAUUUGGUGUAAUAAAUGUCCCUGUUUGAAGCUGUGUGCAGGACAUUUUCGUUACUAAGAGGCUUCCUCUUCUCCAGAGUGAACACCUACUGACCACACCACGUCGCUAUGUGGCCCUGCAGCUUGUGCUCCUGUGUGGGGCUCUGCCCUGCUCUCCGGACGUGAACCAGACAAAGGUGUUCACGGGUCCACCAGCUUUAAGUAUAACAGGAUUUCUGUGUUCAAAAGACUAGACUAAGUGCUUGAUCAAAUCCCG
rnacentral:lncRNA from 1 species